GAAACCAACAGGGAUUGCCUCAGUAACGGCGAGUGAAGCGGCAAAAGCUCAAAUUUGAAACCCUCGGGAUUGUAAUUUGAAGAUUUGGCAUUGGAGAAAGCUAACCCAAGUUGCUUGGAAUAGUACGUCAUAGAGGGUGACAACCCCGUCUGGCUAACCGUUCUCCAUGUAUUGCCUUAUCAAAGAGUCGAGUUGUUUGGGAAUGCAGCUCAAAGUGGGUGGUAAACUCCAUCUAAAGCUAAAUACUGGUGAGAGACCGAUAGCGAACAAGUACUGUGAAGGAAAGGUGAAAAGAACUUUGAAAAGAGAGUGAAAUAGUAUGUGAAAUUGUUGAUAGGGAAGGAAAUGAGUGGAGAGUGGCCGAGGUUUCAGCCGCCCCUCGUGGGCGGUGUACUGCCGACGCCGAGUCAUCGAUAGCGAGACGAGGGUUACAAAUGGAAGCGCCUUCGGGCGUUCUCCCCUAACCCUCCACAC
rnacentral:rRNA from 1 species